rnacentral:rRNA from 1 species
GCAAGUCGAACGAGAAAGCUUCAGCUUGCUGAGGCGAGUAAAGUGGCGCACGGGUGAGUAACGCGUGGGUAAUCUAUCCCUGAAUCCGGGAUAACCCUUCGAAAGGGGGGCUAAUACCGGAUGACAUUAGAGUGUCUUCGGGCAUUUUAAUCAAAGGUGGCCUCUACAUGUAAGCUACUGUUUAUGGAGGAGCCCGCGUACCAUUAGCUAGUUGGUAGGGUAAAGGCCUACCAAGGCGACGAUGGUUAGCUGGUCUGAGAGGAUGAUC